UACGUAGGCAGCGAGCGUUGUUCGGAGUUACUGGGCGUAAAGGGUGCGUAGGCGGUUUUCCAAGUUUGGUGUGAAAUCUCCCGGCUUAACUGGGAGGGUGCGCCGAAAACUAGGAGACUUGAGUACCGGAGAGGUAAGCGGAAUUCCUGGUGUAGCGGUGAAAUGCGUAGAGAUCAGGAGGAACACCUGUGGUGUAGACAGCUUACUGGACGGUCACUGACGCUGUGGCACGAAAGCGUGGGUAGCAAACAGG
rnacentral:rRNA from 1 species